ensembl:lncRNA
GGCGGGGUUUUAAGCAGGACCAACAUGGCGGCUCGUUUAAAGAAAGUAAAAUGAGUUUCUGCAAACACGUGAGGCGACAGAUGAACGGCGUAGUUUAUGGAUCGGACUUUAUUGUCGUUUCCGGUCGCCAUUGUUGAGUUUUUGUGCAGGUUUCAAGGAGACGUCGAGGCGGACAGUUUUUACCUCGGUGACGGAUUCUACUGCUGCCUGACUGACUGCGGACAUGUUCAACACGCUGACACAGUGAAGCAGGUGGAGUUCACAAGAAGAUGAUCCUGCUGCUCCUCAUCCUCACCUCCUCAGCAGGAGGAGAAGUGGAGGUGACACAGAAAUACUACCAGGCGGAGGAAAAGCACCACAUCACACUGGAGUGGACGUUCACCACAAACACUGAUGAUACAGCUGAGGCGAUUCAUAUCUACUGCUGUCGUUCAGCCAAUGAGAAGUGCCCUCUUCUAUAUGAUGUCUAUGAAGGUGUUGAGCACCCAGAAAUAGUGCAUGAAGGUUUUUCAGGAAGAGUCCAGGUGGACACAGACGCCCUCAGAGAAGGACGAAUCAGACUUCAUCUGUCCAGACUCAGGACUGAAGACUCUGGUCUGUACUGGUGUGCUGUGAUGCCGGAUCAUGAUUCUGAGUACAGCGGCGCCAUGUGUGAACUGACUGUCUCUGCUGCUGAGAAACUAACGCAGAGUCCACCAGCAGCAGACACAGGAGGACAGACAGGACUCACCAUUGGACUUACAGCAGCAGGAGGAGUUCUGCUGUUUAUUAUGUACAGGGCUAUUGUCCAAAACAGAAAGAGAAAAAAUGAAUGACAUGUAGAGUCUCAAAAAAUCAGCACCCACCCCACUGAGCACGUGCAGACCUCCUCUUCCUCUGACAGCCUUCAUCAAACAUGUGGUUUUACAAUAGACAAUAGGUGUUAAGUUGUGGGUGUGAGUGCCCCCUGGUGGUAGAACAUGAUAACUACAGUCAGGAAGACCGCUGCAGAUGUGUGAAUGUGAACACACUGUGUUAUUUACACACACACAGAAUGACUGACACACACAUGUAAACAUGUAUAAAUACACACUACAUUAAGACAUCACAGCAUUUGAUCUGUUUUAACGUGAGUAUUGAUCAAACAGUGAAACACUGCUUUGUGUUACAGUUUGUAUGAUAGCAGGGUGGAGUAUACCAUGGCACAUUCACACCCACUGCUGUGUUGUUGAUCAUGUGUGUGUGUCUGUAACGUUGCAGCAGCAGGUUUGUGUUUUGUGCAGGUGUCCUGUCAGGAACAUUUUACUUUAGUAUAUAACUCUGAUAAACAGUGACACUGCUGCAACAUUCAAACCUGUGUCUGAGUCUGAGCUGUCUCCAGUGUUUCUGUUUGUAAUGUGAAGGAGACAUUAAUACUGAAUAUUUUACAGUAAAAACACUGUUAAUCUUUACGUGGCUCAAAAAUGUUGGACAUGGUCGUUUAUUUUUUCAGUAAAUGGCUGACGCCUGUCAGGGAUGAAAUUCCCCUUGUUUCUUCUGAUCCCCUCCCAAGUUGGUUUAUGAGGAAGGAGCAGAUAAAUUCUGGUCUCAAGAUUACAAUUUAUUGAACAAUGAGGCAGAUUCUGAGUCACAGAGCUCUGGGUUGUUGAGACACAAAGAACCAAACAAGAACGAACAAAGCAACAACAACCCCUGGACAUGGAAUUCACACAUUGAUAUACCACAGGGGCGUUCCUGCCCCCCCCCUCUUGCAGACCCUGGGUCAUACAGCGAAUAGACGAUUAGUGUUUAUUCCCUAAUAAAGUAAAGCUUCAAUUCCUUAAAUCUCGUAGG